UGGGGAAUAUUGCACAAUGGGCGCAAGCCUGAUGCAGCCAUGCCGCGUGUGUGAAGAAGGCCUUCGGGUUGUAAAGCACUUUCAGCGGGGAGGAAGGCGUUAAGAUUAAUAACCUUGGCGAUUGACGUUACCCGCAGAAGAAGCACCGGCUAACUCCGUGCCAGCAGCCGCGGUAAUACGGAGGGUGCAAGCGUUAAUCGGAAUUACUGGGCGUAAAGCGCACGCAGGCGGUCUGUCAAGUCGGAUGUGAAAUCCCCGGGCUCAACCUGGGAACUGCAUUCGAAACUGGCAGGCUAGAGUCUUGUAGAGGGGGGUAGAAUUCCAGGUGUAGCGGUGAAAUGCGUAGAGAUCUGGAGGAAUACCGGUGGCGAAGGCGGCCCCCUGGACAAAGACUGACGCUCAGGUGCGAAAGCGUGGGGAGCAAACAGG
rnacentral:rRNA from 1 species